GUGGUGUGUGUUGUGGUGUUGUGUAGUGUUGUGUUUCGUUCUCUUCUGUUUGUUUAUGUCCUUUUUUUCCAUGAUAUCUAAGACGGGAUCGCAGAGCACCACGUCUUAACAUCCAUCCCAGAUCAAUUUAAUAAAUUGGGGUCUCCCAGCGCUGUGUCAAGUGGACUCUUUCUCCCCACCCCUCCACUCCAGUAGUGCUUUUGCCACCUUUUGAGCACCAGCUCAAAGACCAGCAUCAUGACAAGGCAUGAAUACAGGAACAGGUAAACAGCUGAGCCGUAAAAGUUUCUCUCCAAGAAUGUUUUCAACAAAAUGCCAUUGAAUACUGUCUGGUGAUACACGCUGCUACUACGAUGGAACAAAACGAUGUGAGCAAUCUUUCUUUAAAGCUGCUACCCACCAGUCAAAGCUGCAGCUGCCAAAGAAGCCUUCUCCUCCACUUACUUGCUCCCUUCCCUCCUCCUCCCUGCAGGUUCUUUUACGGCACUUAACUUUACAAAACACAGUUGUGAGGCUGAUCUUACAUGCAAUUACAGAUCAGCACCAGUAUAUUUAUUGCAAACUCCUUGAACAUCAGGACAUCAAAAAAAAAAAAAAAGAUUUAAAAAAAAUAAAAGAAAGGGAAAAGAAAGAAACAAUAUUCCAUUGCAUAAUUACGAAUAGGUUUUUGUAGCCAAUGAACCAGAAAUGUAUUCAGAA